rnacentral:rRNA from 1 species
GUGGGGAAUCUUGCGCAAUGGGCGAAAGCCUGACGCAGCCAUGCCGCGUGAAUGAUGAAGGUCUUAGGAUUGUAAAAUUCUUUCACCGGGGACGAUAAUGACGGUACCCGGAGAAGAAGCUCCGGCUAACUUCGUGCCAGCAGCCGCGGUAAUACGAAGGGGGCUAGCGUUGCUCGGACUUACUGGGCGUAAAGGGCGCGUAGGCGGACAGCUUAGUCAGAGGUGAAAGCCCAGGGCUCAACCUUGGAAUUGCCUUUGAUACUGGCUGUCUUGAGUUUGGGAGAGGUGAGUGGAACUCCGAGUGUAGAGGUGAAAUUCGUAGAUAUUCGGAAGAACACCAGUGGCGAAGGCGACUCACUGGCCCAAUACUGACGCUGAGGCGCGAAAGCGUGGGGAGCAAACAGGAUUAGAUACCCUAGUAGUCC